CCUACGGGUGGCUGCAGUGGGGAAUAUUGCACAAUGGGCGCAAGCCUGAUGCAGCCAUGCCGCGUGUGUGAAGAAGGCCUUCGGGUUGUAAAGCACUUUCAGCGGGGAGGAAGGCGGUGAGGUUAAUAACCUCAUCGAUUGACGUUACCCGCAGAAGAAGCACCGGCUAACUCCGUGCCAGCAGCCGCGGUAAUACGGGGGGUGCAAGCGUUAAUCGGAAUUACUGGGCGUAAAGCGCACGCAGGCGGUCUGUCAAGUCGGAUGUGAAAUCCCCGGGCUCAACCUGGGAACUGCAUUCGAAACUGGCAGGCUAGAGUCUUGUAGAGGGGGGUAGAAUUCCAGGUGUAGCGGUGAAAUGCGUAGAGAUCUGGAGGAAUACCGGUGGCGAAGGCGGCCCCCUGGACAAAGACUGACGCUCAGGUGCGAAAGCGUGGGGAGCAAACAGGAUUAGAUACCCCAGUAGUC
rnacentral:rRNA from 1 species